UCCGGUUUGUCACCGGCAGUAUCCCAUGAGUCCCCAACUUAAUGCUGGCAACAUGGGACGGGGGUUGCGCUCGUUGCGGGACUUAACCCAACAUCUCACGACACGAGCUGACGACAGCCAUGCACCACCUGUGAAUGUGUCCCGAAGGAAGACCGUGUUUCCACGGCUGUCACAAACAUGUCAAGUCCAGGUAAGGUUUUUCGCGUUGCAUCGAAUUAAUCCACAUCAUCCACCGCUUGUGCGGGUCCCCGUCAAUUCCUUUGAGUUUUAAUCUUGCGACCGUACUCCCCAGGCGGUCGACUUCACGCGUUAGCUGCGUUACCGAAAGAGUUACCCUCCGACAACUAGUCGACAUCGUUUAGGGCGUGGACUAC
rnacentral:misc_RNA from 1 species